rnacentral:rRNA from 1 species
UGGGGAAUCUUGCACAAUGGGGGCGACCCUGAUGCAGCGACGCCGCGUGAGCGAUGAAGCCCUUCGGGGCGUAAAGCUCUUUCGACCGGAACGAUAAUGACGGUACCGGGAGAAGAAGCCGCGGCUAACUACGUGCCAGCAGCCGCGGUAAUACGUAGGCAGCAAGCGUUGUUCGGAGUUACUGGGCGUAAAGAGUGCGUAGGCGGUUUUCUAAGUUCGGUGUGAAAUCUCCCGGCUUAACUGGGAGGGUGCGCCGAAGACUGGGAAGCUGGAGUGUGGGAAAGGCAGGCGGAAUUCCUGGUGUAGCGGUGAAAUGCGUAGAUAUCAGGAGGAACACCGGCGGUGUAGACGGCUUGCUAGACCAUAACUGACGCUGAGGCACGAAAGCGUGGGUAGCAAACA